GGAUGAGCCCGCGGCCUAUCAGCUUGUUGGUGGGGUAAUGGCCUACCAAGGCGGCGACGGGUAGCCGGCCUGAGAGGGUGUACGGCCACAUUGGGACUGAGAUACGGCCCAGACUCCUACGGGAGGCAGCAGUGGGGAAUAUUGCACAAUGGGCGCAAGCCUGAUGCAGCGACGCCGCGUGGGGGAUGAAGGCCUUCGGGUUGUAAACUCCUUUCGCUAGGGACGAAGCUUUGUUGUGACGGUACCUAUAUAAGAAGCACCGGCUAACUACGUGCCAGCAGCCGCGGUAA
rnacentral:rRNA from 1 species